rnacentral:rRNA from 1 species
GAUGAACGCUGGCGGCGUGCCUAAUACAUGCAAGUCGAGCGAACAGAUGAGGAGCUUGCUCCUCUGACGUUAGCGGCGGACGGGUGAGUAACACGUGGAUAACCUACCUAUAAGACUGGGAUAACUUCGGGAAACCGGAGCUAAUACCGGAUAAUAUAUUGAACCGCAUGGUUCAAUAGUGAAAGACGGUUUUGCUGUCACUUAUAGAUGGAUCCGCGCCGCAUUAGCUAGUUGGUAAGGUAACGGCUUACCAAGGCAACGAUGCGUAGCCGACCUGAGAGGGUGAUCGGCCACACUGGAACUGAGACACGGUCCAGACUCCUACGGGAGGCAGCAAUAGGGAAUCUUACGCAAUGGGCGAAAGCCCGACGGAGCAACGCCGCGUGAGUGAUGAAGGUCUUCGGAUCGUAAAACUCUGUUAUUAGGGAAGAACAAAUGUGUAAUUAACUAUGCACGUCUUGACGGUACCUAAUCAGAAAGCCACGGCUAACUACGUG